GAAAAAGACAAUUCCUCAGGAGUAAAAGUCUAAAGAAGUAUUAAACGCAUACAAUACAAAUACAAAUGCCUUUAGCGGCAGGUGAAUGAACUGCAGUUGAAGAAAGCCGUCUUUGAAAGCAGCCCUCAAGUCACUGCCAUUACCUCACAUGUCUUCGGGACUCGACAGAUCCGCUCUUGAAGACAGAACUUAAGGAAAACCCAUUGCUUCAUCUGCCUGUACUGCACUGUACAAGAGUCCAUUGACGCUUGAGAUUCCGGCACUCGAACAAUUGACCCCGUCGUGUUCUGUACAGAAGCUGUUAGCACCAGUGCUACAAUGUCAGCUAAAUGGAGAGACCGGUGCAGUGAAAAAGACAGGUUCCUGGCGAACGCUCUGAGGAGGGAGAACCUGCAGCUGGACCGGUCCAUCCGCUGCUUGAACCUGCAGUACCAGAGGGAGAUGGCCAGCAUGAGUGGGGCACAGCAGGAGCUGCGGAGGGCGCUGGACCGGCUGAGCACCCGGCAGGAGGGGCGGGCGCUGGGGAGGAAGGCCGGGGCCUGCGCGGCCCAAGACAGGAAGUCAGAGCAGAGGAAGCAUGAGCGCUACUGUCCCAACCACAUUGUGUGCUCUAAAUGCAACCUAAGAAUGAGGCUGGCAGACAGCAUCACCAGGCAGUUUACCCCCAGGCUGUGGACCAUGUACUGCCACAGCCCGUGUGGCUCUGCGGAUGAUUCCCUUACUGACACAAGACUCUACAGGAUACCAACCUUCUUGAUGCACAGGAACUUGUCUGCCUCUGACAAUUCCCUGCGCUACCUGCCCUUUAUAUCUUUAUAA
rnacentral:lncRNA from 1 species